GCUUGAUCUUGAAGGGGUUAUGGAUUUCAUGCCUGUCCAGGGGCAGGAGGGUGAGGUGGCGGGUGUGUCGGAUCCAUCACCUAUCCCUUCGAAGAGAAGGAGGGCAGCCUACCCAGGGGAGAAGUCUCGGAUGAUCAACGAGACUUCCCAGCCUUCAGACGAGCCUCGUGAGGUGGCUUCAGUUCCUAAGUCGGGAGCUCCCAGUUGCACAUGUUGCGAGGGCGAGGACUCACUCCCUAACUUUGGGUUUCCUCCCACCUGGGGUUAUCAUGAGAUGAGGUGCUAAAGUCUUUGGUGACACCUGCUCGUCCAGAGCAAUUGCAGGGCGUAGUGCAGAUGACAUUGAAAGGGCUACGGCUGUUUAUCUCCAGAGGGUAUGUUUCCCAUUUCACAAUUUCUUUCAUGUUGGGUUUCGCCUUUUAAACUAGGUUUUAAUAAUUGAUUUCACCUUUUCUUCCCUUUUUUUUUUUUUUUUUAGGUGGUGGCCCUCCAGAUCGGACUCGCAGAAUCGAAUCGCCGCCUAGCCUCGGAGUUGAAAAAUCUCACUGAAGAAAAGAAAAAGGAGGAUCAUCACUAUAAGAAAAAAAUAUCUUCCUUGAAGAAAUCUCUGAAGACGUUGAAUGCUCGAGCUCGCGAGCAGGAGACGGAGAACGACAACCUACGUUCUAUUUUGGCUCGCGCUCCCGAGGAGGCGAUUGAGAAGUAUAAGGCCUCAGCUGAAUAUGCUAGAGAUCUCAAGGGAUCUGUGGAACAGUAUAAGACGUCGUCUGAUUACGCUAGGGCUUUGAAUUCAUAUGGGGGGAAGGCGAUGUCAGCGUCUAUCAAAUUCUCCAAAGAGUGGAUUAUGGCCGAGCAUCCUUCUAUAGACCCCUUUGGCCUGGAUAGAUUUCUUGCGCAGGGCAAGGAAAAGGAGAGUGCAGCUCAGUCGUCCAUGUCACUUGGUCGUUUAUCAGGAGGCGAUAGUGGGGAUCUCUUCCCUUUGGGCUGAAGCAUUUCUUAAUUGUUGUUUUCUUUGCUAGCUCUUCCUUUUUCGUGUUUACUUUUGUUUAGUCUUGUUAUCUCCUACUUGCUCGAGGUGUGGGCAAGAAUUUCUCGGAUGUAUAAACACGUUUUUCUUUCAAUAUCAUUAGUGCUGAG
rnacentral:lncRNA from 1 species